AUGUCAUGUUUCAAAUUGCCUCAUUACAAAACAAAAAUAUUUAUCACACUUUCAAGCCAUAUCCAAAUUUUAUUACAAGAUUAUUCACUACUUGAUUCAAUAAAGUAUUCCUAUUACAAAGUCUUAGCCUUUACAUUACACCAUCUAAUCCCAUCAUAUUUAAAAAUUCAAAAUCCUAUACAAGUACACCAAGAUGCAUUACACAAAAAAUAUAGUUGCAUCAAUUGUCCCAAGCCUAUUUCAUCCAAUUUGUCCUAA